rnacentral:piRNA from 1 species
UGCCAUUUGUGUUCUGGGCCUUAAACCAUU